GGAGCUUGCUCUGUGGGAUCAGUGGCGAACGGGUGAGUAACACGUGAGCAACCUGCCCCUGACUCUGGGAUAAGCGCUGGAAACGGCGUCUAAUACUGGAUACGAGUAGCGACCGCAUGGUCAGUUACUGGAAAGAUUUAUUGGUUGGGGAUGGGCUCGCGGCCUAUCAGCUUGUUGGUGAGGUAAUGGCUCACCAAGGCGUCGACGGGUAGCCGGCCUGAGAGGGUGACCGGCCACACUGGGACUGAGACACGGCCCAGACUCCUACGGGAGGCAGCAGUGGGGAAUAUUGCACAAUGGGCGCAAGCCUGAUGCAGCAACGCCGCGUGAGGGAUGACGGCCUUCGGGUUGUAAACCUCUUUUAGCAGGGAAGAAGCGAAAGUGACGGUACCUGCAGAAAAAGCGCCGGCUAACUACGUGCCAGCAGCCGCGGUAAUACGUAGGGCGCAAGCGUUAUCCGGAAUUAUUGGGCGUAAAGAGCUCGUAGGCGGUUUGUCGCGUCUGCUGUGAAAUCCGGAGGCUCAACCUCCGGCCUGCAGUGGGUACGGGCAGACUAGAGUGCGGUAGGGGAGAUUGGAAUUCCUGGUGUAGCGGUGGAAUGCGCAGAUAUCAGGAGGAACACCGAUGGCGAAGGCAGAUCUCUGGGCCGUAACUGACGCUGAGGAGCGAAAGGGUGGGGAGCAAACAGGCUUAGAUACCCUGGUAGUCCACCCCGUAAACGUUGGGAACUAGUUGUGGGGUCCAUUCCACGGAUUCCGUGACGCAGCUAACGCAUUAAGUUCCCCGCCUGGGGAGUACGGCCGCAAGGCUAAAACUCAAAGGAAUUGACGGGGACCCGCACAAGCGGCGGAGCAUGCGGAUUAAUUCGAUGCAACGCGAAGAACCUUACCAAGGCUUGACAUAUACGAGAACGGGCCAGAAAUGGUCAACUCUUUGGACACUCGUAAACAGGUGGUGCAUGGUUGUCGUCAGCUCGUGUCGUGAGAUGUUGGGUUAAGUCCCGCAACGAGCGCAACCCUCGUUCUAUGUUGCCAGCACGUAAUGGUGGGAACUCAUGGGAUACUGCCCG
rnacentral:rRNA from 1 species